rnacentral:rRNA from 1 species
AGAGUUUGAUCCUGGCUCAGGAUGAACGCUGGCGGCGUGCCUAAUACAUGCAAGUCGAACGCUCCGCAAGGGGAGUGGCGAAUGGGUGAGUAACACGUAUCUAACCUACCUUUACGACUGGGAUAACGUUUGGAAACGAACGCUAAUACCGGAUAGGUAAUGGAGACUUAUGUUUCUAUUAUUAAAGUUGCGUUUGCAACACGGAAAGAUGGGGAUGCGGUGCAUUAGCUAGUUGGUGAGGUAAUGGCUCACCAAGGCUACGAUGCAUAUCCGGCCUGAGAGGGUGAACGGACACACUGGAACUGAGACACGGUCCAGACUCCUACGGGAGGCAGCAGUAGGGAAUAUUCGACAAUGGACGAAAGUCUGAUCGAGCAACGCCGCGUGAGGGAUGAAGGUCUUCGGAUUGUAAACCUCUUUUAUAAGGGAAGAACACCCACAAUAGGAAAUGAUUGUGGAAUGACGGUACCUUUUGAAUAAGCAACGGCUAACUAUGUGCCAGCAGCCGCGGUAAUACAUAGGUUGCAAGCGUUAUCCGGAUUUACUGGGCGUAAAGCGUGUGUAGUCGGUUUCUUAAGUCUGACGUGCAAUGACAAGGCUCAACCUUGUCCUGCGUUGGAAACUGGGAGACUAGAGUUACGGAGGGGCAAAUGGAAUUCCUAGUGUAUCGGUGGAAUGAGUAGAUAUUAGGAGGAACAUCAGUGGCGAAGGCGAUUUGCUGGACGAUAACUGACGAUGAGACACGAAAGCGUGGGUAGCAAACAGGAUUAGAUACCCUGGUAGUCCACGCCCUAAACGAUGGGUACUAGGUGCUGGGAUAACUCGGUGCCGCAGCUAACGCAAUAAGUACCCCGCCUGGGGAGUAUGCACGCAAGUGUGAAACUCAAAGGAAUUGACGGGGACCCGCACAAGCGGAGGAGCAUGUGGUUUAAUUCGACGCAACGCGAAGAACCUUACCUACUCUU